rnacentral:rRNA from 1 species
AAAACGACUCUCGGCAACGGAUAUCUAGGCUCUCGCAUCGAUGAAGAACGUAGCGAAAUGCGAUACUUGGUGUGAAUUGCAGAAUCCCGCGAAUCAUCGAGUUUUUGAACGCAAGUUGCGCCCUAAGCCAUUCGGCCGAGGGCACGUCUGCCUGGGUGUCACGC